AUUGAACGCUGGCGGCAGGCCUAACACAUGCAAGUCGAACGAGUGGCGGACGGGUGAGUAAUGUCUGGGAAACUGCCCGAUGGAGGGGGAUAACUACUGGAAACGGUAGCUAAUACCGCAUACCAUCGGAUGUGCCCAGAUGGGAUUAGCUAGUAGGUGGGGGAACGGCUCACCUAGGCGACGAUCCCUAGCUGGUAUGAGAGGAUGACCGGCCACACUGGAACUGAGACACGGUCCAGACUCCUACGGGAGGCAGCAGUGGGGAAGAUUGCACAAUGGGGGAAACCCUGAUGCAGCGACGCCGCGUGAGCGAAGAAGGCCUUCGGGUCGUAAAGCACUUUUAUGAGGGAAGCGGUACCUCAAGAAAAAGCCCCGGCUAACUACGUGCCAGCAGCCGCGGUAAUAC
rnacentral:rRNA from 1 species